GGAGAUAUAGCUCAGUUGGUAGAAUGCUUACCUCGAAUGUACAAGGUCCUGGGUUCAAUCCCCAGCACCACCA
rfam:Ictidomys tridecemlineatus contig006840, whole genome shotgun sequence.